rnacentral:rRNA from 1 species
CACGCCGUAAACGAUGAUUACUAGGUAUAGGGGGACUGACCCCCUCUGUGCCGCAGCAAACGCAUUAAGUAAUCCACCUGGGGAGUACGGCCGCAAGGUUAAAACUCAAAGGAAUUGACGGGGGCCCGCACAAGCAGUGGAGUAUGUGGUUUAAUUCGAAGCAACGCGAAGAACCUUACCAAGCCUUGACAUCUCCUGCAUAGCCAAGAGAUUGGUGAAGCCCUUCGGGGCAGGAAGACAGGUGG